rnacentral:rRNA from 1 species
AACGAACGCUGGCGGCAUGCCUAACACAUGCAAGUCGAACGAGACCUUCGGGUCUAGUGGCGCACGGGUGCGUAACGCGUGGGAACCUGCCCUUAGGUUCGGAAUAACUCCCCGAAGGGGUUGCUAAUACGGAAUAAUGUCUUCGACCCAAGGAUUUAUCGCCUUUGGAUGGGCCCGCGUUGGAUUAGCUAGUUGGUAGGGUAAAAGCCUACCAAGGCGACGAUCCAUAGCUGGUCUGAGAGGAUGAUCAGCCACACUGGGACUGAGACACGGCCCAGACUCCUACGGGAGGCAGCAGUGGGGAAUAUUGGACAAUGGGCGAAAGCCUGAUCCAGCAAUGCCGCGUGAGUGAUGAAGGCCUUAGGGUUGUAAAGCUCUUUUACCCGGGAUGAUAAUGACAGUACCGGGAGAAUAAGCUCCGGCUAACUCCGUG